UCUCUUCUAGUGUUGCUGCCCGUAUAGGUUCUCCAUGAAUGAAUUUAGAAGAUUGUGAGUGAUAAGAGGGGAAAAUUGUUUGAGUGAUGAAUUAAGGAGACAAAUUUGGUGAUUGGGUUUAAUUAAGAUUUCUAUUGUUGUUUCAAUUUGAUUGAUGAAAUUGGUGAUUGCUUUUAGGGUUCUUAAAUCGGAAGGAAGAAAAUCCAGGGUUAGGUAAUCGUUGGUGGUCAUGUAGCAGUUGACACCCCUUCAUUACCAGAAACACGCUUGGAAGGUAUUCGAUAGAAUUCCCAAGCCAGUUCGCUUUGUUCACCAACUUCAACUCCAACUAUUUGCAGGGAGAAACAAGACCCGAAUCUGUUUAUCCUAGCUUGGUGAUUCCAAUGGGUUUGAUCAAUUGAAUUACAAUAAUUUGUUGGUUUUUUUUAAUUUAAUUUUUUUUGCAACAAGAUAAACAGCAGCAGUGAAUUGAGGAAUGAUUCAAAACUGAGUCGCCAUCACAACUCGGUCCUAAAACUGAGUCACCAUCACAACUCGGUCCUAGUAAGAAUAUUUUGGGGGUUUAAUUGUUUUUUCAAAAAAAAACGGGAUGGAAAAGUCAAAUGAAUGGCAUUUUAUUAAUUUUGAAAAAAACAGUGGCACUUUCUUAAACAUGAAAUUGAAAGUGUGGUAUUUUAUUAAAAUCCCCUUAAAGUUUUUACAUGGGAUAAAUAUUUAAGCUGAUUUAGUGAUACUGUCCUUGAUGACAUUAUUGUAAAUUGGAGACCGAAAAUUUUCGAUCCUCCGUAGCUUUUUUACCAAUCCUCUGUAGAUUUUUUUUCCUGCCUUUCGGGUGUUCUAGUUACUUUGGUUCUCAUUUUUAGCUUUUGGGCUCUGCUCUUUUUUGCAGUGUUUUCCUUUUUGAUUUAUGUCAUUAUCUUAACCGAUCAAAAAAAAAAGAAUAGUCGUUGGCGGCCA